UGCCAGCCGCCGCGGUAAUACGGAGGGGGUUAGCGUUGUUCGGAAUUACUGGGCGUAAAGCGCACGUAGGCGGACUAUUAAGUGAGGGGUGAAAUCCCAGGGCUCAACCCUGGAACUGCCUCUCAUACUGGUAGUCUUGAGUUCGAGAGAGGUGAGUGGAAUUCCGAGUGUAGAGGUGAAAUUCGUAGAUAUUCGGAGGAACACCAGUGGCGAAGGCAGUUCACUGGACCGUGAUCGACGCUGAGGAGCGAAAGCUAGGGGAGCAAACAGGAUUAGAUA
rnacentral:rRNA from 1 species